GCCCACAUAGCUCAGUAGGUUAGAGCGCAUCCUUGGUAAGGAUGAGGUCAUCGGUUCAAGUCCGAUUGUGGGCU
rnacentral:tRNA from 1 species